CUUUACAAAGGCCUAGGCUGUUACAAUUGGUAUCAGAGCCAAACACUGGGUGUUGUGCCAGGACGUUGGACUUCGAAGGGAGUAGAUUGUGAAAUCCCACAUUGGUUGGAAAGGGGAACGAGACAUUCUUCAUAAGGGCACCACACAAUCAUAUUUAUAUGCAACACUUCAAAUGGUCUCUCUUUUUGCUGUUCGGAGCUUCUUGGUCUCCUUAAUCGGCCCGAUAUCUUCUCGUCUUCAUAGUUUUCUCGGUGGAUUUGCGCUGAAUUGGAUGUUCAUGGGUUGGGUUGAGUAGAGUCGGGUUUAAAUAGUAAAAUUUAAUACACUCAAUUAAUUAUUGUUAUUGUCUCUCUCUCUCUCUCUCUUCAUCUAUCUCAUUGUGCUCAUCUUCAUCGUUCUUAUCUCACGGGGUUCAACUUCUCCGUUGACGUCCUCAUCUUAGACGUUGAUCUAGCUCGCGGGUCACCUCUUUAUUUCUCCGUUAGACUCUC